CGUAACAAGGUUUCCGUAGGUGAACCUGCGGAAGGAUCAUUACCUAGAGUUGUAGGCUUUGCCUGCUAUCUCUUACCCAUGUCUUUUGAGUACCUUCGUUUCCUCGGCGGGUCCGCCCGCCGAUUGGACAAUUUAAACCAUUUGCAGUUGCAAUCAGCGUCUGAAAAAACUUAAUAGUUACAACUUUCAACAACGGAUCUCUUGGUUCUGGCAUCGAUGAAGAACGCAGCGAAAUGCGAUAAGUAGUGUGAAUUGCAGAAUUCAGUGAAUCAUCGAAUCUUUGAACGCACAUUGCGCCCCUUGGUAUUCCAUGGGGCAUGCCUGUUCGAGCGUCAUUUGUACCUUCAAGCUCUGCUUGGUGUUGGGUGUUUGUCUCGCCUCUGCGCGUAGACUCGCCUCAAAACAAUUGGCAGCCGGCGUAUUGAUUUCGGAGCGCAGUACAUCUCGCGCUUUGCACUCAUAACGACGACGUCCAAAAGUACAUUUUUACACUCUUGACCUCGGAUCAGGUAGGGAUACCCGCUGAACUUAAGCAUAUCAAUA
rnacentral:rRNA from 1 species